ACAGUCGUAGGAGCGGCCAGCGAAGGGAGGAGCGGGAGGAGGCAGGGGUGCCCACUAGCCCCAGUCCUACGUGUUAUCUGUGGAAAGGCGAACUGGAGGCGCCCUCGCCCCCCGCCAGGCGGCAAGACAACCCUGGAGCCUGCUUUUUUGCUUUCUAGAGCCGCACCCGAGGCACAUGGCGGUCCCCAGGCUGGGGGUCGAAGGGUCCAACCGGAGCUACAGCCGCCGGCCUACACCACAGCCACGCCAGACCCCAGCGUAUCUGCGACCUACACCACAGCUCACAGCAAGGCCAGAGCCUUCACCCAGGUUUCGCAACCUCACGUUCUCCCGUCGUAUUCGUUUUCACUGUGCCAAGAUGGGAAAUGCCCGGAGCCUACUUUUUUCAGUUUUUCUAACGCCACGAAAUGCCGCGAGAUUUCGAGCAGGCACCAAGCACUAGAGAUAUCGCGAGACAGCAGCGUGCCACCGCCCCCCCGCUUCCGGAUACAGCAGACCUCGCGACAAGUGGAGCUGUCGCGAGAGGAUGCCAGCGGUCUUCCUCGUCCUAUCCGGGCGGGGCGGGGAAGACGAAAAGCUCUUGGUGAGGCUGGGCCUUUCUGGGGACGAUGCCGUCCGCAUUCUCAGUGAGCUCGUUCCCCGUCAGCAUCCCCGCCGUGAUCAUGCAGACAGACUGGACGGAGCCGUGGCUGGUCGGGCUGGUCAUCUUCCACGUACUCUGCCUGCUGCUCACCUGCUUCUCAUCCCGGAGGUAUAAGCUACAGGUCGGGCACUUCCUGUGUCUGGGUGAGUAGGACCAGCAGCGAUUCUGUGGCUCAGGUUGCUGUGUGAUAGACAGUGUGCCUAUUCUCUCGUAGCCUCCUGCUGUGUGAAUACAUUUGUAAGGCUUCCAGCUGUGCCUGUCCUGGCGGGAAGUGCCAACCAGGAAGCAAAGUUCUGGGCAUAAAAUGACGUGGUGCCCAAGUCAGUUUUAAAGAUAAUGAGAAGGAGCAGAGUUGUGUGGCAUCCCCACGGAGAAGGAGUGGAGGCUGCAGGUGGCAGUCGUCCACCACCUCCGGUCCCUGUGCAGCUCUUGGCCUCCUGCCCUGGUCCCCACCCCAGCCCGUACCACCAGGGAGGGCCACCCAGGGGCUGGGCUGUUCCUGCUGCUCCUGUUAUCCUCAGGCCAGAUCCCCCCCCCCCCCCCCCCCCCCCCCGCCCCCGUCUUUGCCACCAGCGCAAGUCUGAGGGGCCAGGCAGGGGACCCCAGCCCUUGCCCCAGGGCCCUCGGGUCCCACCACUGGCCUUGCCAGCUGACCUGUGACCAGGUGGGGCAGGCCGGCCUGCUCUGGUGUCUGGCCGGAAGCUCCUGCCGAGGGUGUGCCCAGCGGACUGACCAUCAGACUCCGUGUUCGCCUGGGUUUCCCUUCGAGUGGCUGCCUUCUGUCAGCGACAACAGGAACAGGUCUCAGCAGAUCCCUCUGUGCUGUAGCUGUCGCUUCUUUCCUCUCAGUGACGCUGGUCUACUGCGCCGAGUACAUCAAUGAGGUUGCGGCCAUGAACUGGAGGUCCUUCUCAAAGUACCAGUAUUUCGACUCGAGGGGGAUGUUCGUGUCCCUGGUCUUCUCGGCACCGCUGCUGCUCAACGCCCUGGCCAUCGUGAUCCUGUGGGUGCGCAAGACGCUGGCGGUGAUGAGCGACCUGAGGACCUUACAGCAGCGCCGGGGGCGGCCGAAGCAGCAGUGACGGCUCUGCCCCCGGCUGGCGCCUGGGCAUCCAGACCCGCCCCGCGUCCCGAGACGCUUGGGCUGGCUUUGAAGGGCGCUCGCCCGGCCUGGGUCCACCCAGAAGGUCUGAGUCUCCCUAGUUAAACUGUAAACGGAGCCCCUGCAGUCAAGCCUGAGCUCGGGACACCCUGUCUGUCCAUGUGGGAGGGUUGAGGGGUGGACAGCGCCAUCCACGCGUGGGCACCCCCAUUGGCCCCUGUCACCCCCACCCUCCCCGUCAGCCCCCUGUCACCUCUAUCACUCCCCCAUCACCCCUGUCACCCCCAUGCUCCCCGUCAGCCCCCUGUCACGGUCACCCCUGUCACCCCUGUCACUGCCAUCACCCUGGUCUGGCCUUCGUGGCGACGGCCUCUCCAGGCAGGGCUGCCGCUGGACAGGGCAGGAGGGGCCGCCUGGCCUCUGUGCAGUUGGAGGCGUCACGGCGCCGGCGGAGGCCGGAGUCGGGAUCUUCAGAGGCGGCAGCCGCGCGAGCCCCUUGAGUUGUGCUUCAGGAAGGAACGUCGCCAUUAAAACAGUCAGCAGCUGCCUGGUUCAACUAAGAGGUUUUAUGGCAAAUACCGAGACGGGUUCUGUCCCUUGGUUCCUGCCUCUUACAUUCUGCUCGGGGACAUGCCACCGCCUCUUCUGUUGGAGCAGGUGCGCUGAUUCGGUGUCACGGCCGCGCUGCGGACUAGACCUGCAGCUGGAGGGUGGGGGCCGCAUGUCUAAACUCAGCGUUUGAGAAAGAGGAGGCGGUUGGCUCCUGAUGGGGUUUGAAAAAAUAGCUUGCGAGCCUUCCUGCUGUGACUCAAAGGGAUCAGCGGCAUCUCUGCAGCGCUGGGCGCGGGUUUGAUCCCUGGCCGGGUGCAGUGGGUUAAGGCUCUGACAGGGCUGCAGCUGCAGUGUAGGUCACGCUGGGACGUGGCUCUGAUCCUGGCCCAGGAAAGCCAUGUGCCAUGGGGUGGCCUGAAAAAAAGAGAGGAAGUAGUUUAUGAAUAGUUGUCUUAAUUUUAAGAAGAUGUUUUCCCUUAAAUGAAGUAUAUUUUUCAAAUUUCAAAAGAAAAAAAAUUGGUCACGUGAAAGCAUUAUAUUUAGUGGUUCAGAGGGUAACACUGCUGGAUGAUGGGAUUAAAUCUUGAAAUCCAGACGUAAAGACAGCUGUAAACUCUUAGCAGAGAAAUUAUUUCCUUAAUUUUGACGUUGGUUUUAGAACCGAGUCGAUAGAACUUCCUAGAUCAAUCUCUUGGAGCUUUUAACCUCACAUCCUUUCUUGAUGUGAACGUCUGUACUGAACAUUGAAAAAAUUGACUCAGCAACAGCAUGUCACGUGAAAUCCAGUUUUAGAUGUCUUGCACCUGAUGACAUCCUGAGGGUGCGUUGCUGAAAGUGACCAGUUCAGGGUGUUCCUUGGUGUCCUGGCUUCAGAAGAGUCGCCUGCAUCUGAGCAGCUCCCGGGAGCCCACAGCGGCAGGGGCUGCGGGCGGGGUCGAGUGUCCCCUCCAGCGCCGGCCUGGGGCCAGGGGACAGAAGUGCCCGUGGCAACGUCCUGCCCUUGCCCUCGGCCCCUCGGAGCCCAGGGAGUGCAGGCAUUUCCACCAUCCGGAGCCACUCCUGUCAGCGCGAGACUGUGACUGGCUCUCAGCUGUCCUGUGAAGACCGGGUAAUGACAUCGUCAUUGGCCUGGAUGUGGGGUCAGACGUCCCGUCGAAAAACACGACGUAGGGCCUUUUUGUUCACUGGUGUGUGUAAGUUUUGGGGAAUCGUUGUGUUUUAUUUUCACAAACACAACCUGUUUUUAAAACUUUUAGUAGGUUUCUCUCCAGUGGCUUAAAGGGCAGUGUUUACGAACACCAGGCGUCCUCAUGCUUGGGACACACUCCAAGCCGUCGCUGUCCCAGCACUUCAGGUCACCUCAAGUGUGGGGACUGUGGCCCUUUCGGGGCAUGGGGGUGCUGCUGGGGCUUGGGGCCUCCAGGCGGGUGGAAGGGCAGCCUGUGUCUGUCAUCUGCGGACGAGAAGACGAGAGACACGCGUGGUCAAGGCGCAUUUAGCCCGUUCCAGACCUGCGACCUUCAGUUUGUCAGUUGCUGUGUAAUAAAGUCUUAUUUUAUUUCAAG
rnacentral:lncRNA from 1 species